rnacentral:rRNA from 1 species
AUUGAACGCUGGCGGCAGGCUUAACACAUGCAAGUCGAGCGGAGCGGCAGACGGGUGAGUAAUGCCUAGGAAUCUGCCUGGUCGUGGUGGAUAACGUCCGGAAACGGGCGCUGAUACCGCAUACUCUCAGAAGAGCCUGGGUGGGAUUAGCUAGUUGGUGGGGUAAAGGCCUACCAAGCCGACGACCCGUAACUGGUCUGAGAGGAUGAUCAGGCACACUGGAACUGAGACACGGUCCAGACUCCUACGGGAGGCAGCAGUGGGGAAUAUUGGACAAUGGGCGAAAGCCUGAUGCAGCCAUGCCGCGUGUGUGAAGAAGGUCUUCGGAUUGUAAAGCACUUUAAGUUGGGAGGCGUUACCAGCAGAAUAAGCACCGGCUAACUACGUGCCAGCAGCCGCGGUAAUAC